GAUGAACGCUGGCGGCGUGCCUAAUACAUGCAAGUCGAGCGAACAGACGAGGAGCUUGCUCCUCUGACGUUAGCGGCGGACGGGUGAGUAACACGUGGAUAACCUACCUAUAAGACUGGGAUAACUUCGGGAAACCGGAGCUAAUACCGGAUAAUAUAUUGAACCGCAUGGUUCAAUAGUGAAAGACGGUUUUGCUGUCACUUAUAGAUGGAUCCGCGCCGCAUUAGCUAGUUGGUAAGGUAACGGCUACCAAGGCAACGAUGCGUAGCCGACCUGAGAGGGUGAUCGGCCACACUGGAACUGAGACACGGUCCAGACUCCUACGGGAGGCAGCAGUAGGGAAUCUUCCGCAAUGGGCGAAAGCCUGACGGAGCAACGCCGCGUGAGUGAUGAAGGUCUUCGGAUCGUAAAACUCUGUUAUUAGGGAAGAACAAAUGUGUAAGUAACUAUGCACGUCUUGACGGUACCUAAUCAGAAAGCCACGGCUAACUACGUG
rnacentral:rRNA from 1 species